rnacentral:siRNA from 1 species
UAAGCCAUGCAUGUGUAAGU